CCCGCACAAGCGGCGGAGCAUGUGGAUUAAUCGAUGCAACGCGAAGAACCUUACCUGGGUUUGACAUAUACCGGAAAGCUGCAGAGAUGUGGCCCCCCUUGUGGUCGGUAUACAGGUGGUGCAUGGCUGUCGUCAGCUCGUGUCGUGAGAUGUUGGGUUAAGUCCCGCAACGAGCGCAACCCUAUCUUAUGUUGCCAGCACGUUAUGGUGGGGACUCGUAAGAGACUGCCGGGGUCAACUCGGAGGAAGGUGGGACGACGUCAAGUCAUCAUGCCCCUUAUGUCCAGGGCUUCACACAUGCUACAAUGGCCAGUACAGAGGGCUGCGAGACCGUGAGGUGGAGCGAAUCCCUUAAAGCUGGUCUCAGUUCGGAUCGGGGUCUGCAACUCGACCCCGUGAAGUCGGAGUCGCUAGUAAUCGCAGAUCAGCAACGCUGCGGUGAAUACGUUCCCGGGCCUU
rnacentral:rRNA from 1 species